GGGGAGAUGGCUCAGUGGUUAAGAGCACUGACUGCUCUUCCAGAGGUCCUGAGUUCAAAUCCCAGUAACCACA
rnacentral:tRNA from 1 species